rnacentral:rRNA from 1 species
GAUGAACGCUGGCGGCGUGCCUAAUACAUGCAAGUCGAGCGAACAGACGAGGCGCUUGCUCCUCUGACGUUAGCGGCGGACGGGUGAGUAACACGUGGAUAACCUACCUAUAAGACUGGGAUAACUUCGGGAAACCGGAGCUAAUACCGGAUAAUAUAUUGAACCGCAUGGUUCAAUAGUGAAAGCCGGUUUUGCUGUCACUUAUAGAUGUAUCCGCGCCGCAUUAGCUAGUUGGUAAGGUAACGGCUUACCAAGGCAACGAUGCGUAGCCGACCUGAGAGGGUGAUCGGCCACACUGGAACUGAGACACGGUCCAGACUCCUACGGGAGGCAGCAGUAGGGAAUCUUCCGCAAUGGGCGAAAGCCUGACGGAGCAACGCCGCGUGAGUGAUGAAGGUCUUCGGAUCGUAAAACUCUGUUAUUAGGGAAGAACAAAUGUGUAAGUAACUAUGCACGUCUUGACGGUACCUAAUCAGAAAGCCACGGCUAACUACGUG